rnacentral:rRNA from 1 species
AGGGUUUGAUCCUGGCUCAGGACGAACGCUGGCGGCGUGCUUAACACAUGCAAGUCGAACGAUGAAGCCUAGCUUGCUAGGUGGAUUAGUGGCGAACGGGUGAGUAAUACGUGAGUAACCUACCUUUAACUCUGGGAUAAGCCUGGGAAACUGGGUCUAAUACCGGAUACGACCAAUCUCCGCAUGGGGUGUUGGUGGAAAGCGUUAUGUAGUGGUUAUAGAUGGGCUCACGGCCUAUCAGCUUGUUGGUGAGGUAACGGCUCACCAAGGCGACGACGGGUAGCCGGCCUGAGAGGGUGACCGGCCACACUGGGACUGAGACACGGCCCAGACUCCUACGGGAGGCAGCAGUGGGGAAUAUUGCACAAUGGGCGCAAGCCUGAUGCAGCGACGCCGCGUGAGGGAUGACGGCCUUCGGGUUGUAAACCUCUGUUAGCAGGGAAGAAGAGAGAUUGACGGUACCUGCAGAGAAAGCGCCGGCUAACUACGUGCCAGCAGCCGCGGUAAUACGUAGGGCGCGAGCGUUGUCCGGAAUUAUUGGGCGUAAAGAGCUUGUAGGCGGUUUGUCGCGUCUGCUGUGAAAGGCCGGGGCUUAACCCCGUGUAUUGCAGUGGGUACGGGCAGACUAGAGUGCAGUAGGGGAGACUGGAAUUCCUGGUGUAGCGGUGGAAUGCGCAGAUAUCAGGAGGAACACCGAUGGCGAAGGCAGGUCUCUGGGCUGUAACUGACGCUGAGAAGCGAAAGCAUGGGGAGCGAACAGGAUUAGAUACCCUGGUAGUCCAUGCCGUAAACGUUGGGCACUAGGUGUGGGGGACAUUCCACGUUUUCCGCGCCGUAGCUAACGCAUUAAGUGCCCCGCCUGGGGAGUACGGCCGCAAGGCUAAAACUCAAAGAAAUUGACGGGGGCCCGCACAAGCGGCGGAGCAUGCGGAUUAAUUCGAUGCAACGCGAAGAACCUUACCCAAGGCUUGACAUAUACUGGACCGCAUCAGAGAUGCUGUUUCCCUUCGGGGCUGGUAUACAAGGUGGUGCAUGGUUGUCGUCAGCUCGUGUCGUGAGAUGUUGGGUUAAGUCCCGCAACGAGCGCAACCCUCGUUCUAUGUUGCCAGCACGUUAUGGUGGGGACUCAUAGGAGACUGCCGGGGUCAACUCGGAGGAAGGUGGGGAUGACGUCAAAUCAUCAUGCCCCUUAUGUCUUGGGCUUCACGCAUGCUACAAUGGCCGGUACAGAGGGUUGCGAUACUGUGAGGUGGAGCUAAUCCCUAAAAGCCGGUCUCAGUUCGGAUUGGGGUCUGCAACUCGACCCCAUGAAGUCGGAGUCGCUAGUAAUCGCAGAUCAGCAACGCUGCGGUGAAUACGUUCCCGGGCCUUGUACACACCGCCCGUCAAGUCACGAAAGUUGGUAACACCCAAAGCCGGUGGCCUAACCUUUUGGAGGGAGCCGUCUAAGGUGGGAUUGGCGAUUGGGACUAAGUC